GACGGAGGAUGCAAGCGUUAUCCGGAAUUAUUGGGCGUAAAGCGUCCGCAGGUGGCUGUUCAAGUCUGCUGUCAAAGCGCAGAGCUUAACUCUGUACAGGCGGUGGAAACUGAAGAGCUAGAGUAUGGUAGGGGUAGAGGGAAUUCCCGGUGUAGCGGUGAAAUGCGUAGAUAUCGGGAAGAACAUCAGUGGCGAAGGCGGCUCUCUGGACGACAACUGACGCUGAGACGCGAAAGCGUGGGGAGCAAACAGG
rnacentral:rRNA from 1 species